rnacentral:rRNA from 1 species
ACAUGCCUACAACAUAGUGUUAAUGCACCAGAUCCCAUUAGAAAUCCGUAGAUAAGCAUGCUCAGGCUAGUGUAGUAUUGGGAUGGGUGACCGACCUGGAAGUCCUAGUGUUUUACAUGCC